AGUCGAGCGGUAAGGCCCUUCGGGGUACACGAGCGGCGAACGGGUGAGUAACACGUGGGUGAUCUGCCCUGCACUUCGGGAUAAGCCUGGGAAACUGGGUCUAAUACCGGAUAUGACCAUUGGUUGCAUGACUGGUGGUGGAAAGAUUUAUCGGUGCAGGAUGGGCCCGCGGCCUAUCAGCUUGUUGGUGGGGUAAUGGCCUACCAAGGCGACGACGGGUAGCCGACCUGAGAGGGUGACCGGCCACACUGGGACUGAGACACGGCCCAGACUCCUACGGGAGGCAGCAGUGGGGAAUAUUGCACAAUGGGCGGAAGCCUGAUGCAGCGACGCCGCGUGAGGGAUGACGGCCUUCGGGUUGUAAACCUCUUUCGACAGGGACGAAGCGUAAGUGACGGUACCUGUAGAAGAAGCACCGGCCAACUACGUGCCAGCAGCCGCGGUAAUACGUAGGGUGCGAGCGUUGUCCGGAAUUACUGGGCGUAAAGAGCUUGUAGGCGGUUCGUCGCGUCGAUCGUGAAAACCUACCGCUCAACGGUGGGCUUGCGGUCGAUACGGGCGGACUAGAGUACUUCAGGGGAGACUGGAAUUCCUGGUGUAGCGGUGAAAUGCGCAGAUAUCAGGAGGAACACCGGUGGCGAAGGCGGGUCUCUGGGAAGUAACUGACGCUGAGAAGCGAAAGCGUGGGUAGCGAACAGGAUUAGAUACCCUGGUAGUCCACGCCGUAAACGGUGGGUACUAGGUGUGGGUUUCCUUCCACGGGAUCCGUG
rnacentral:rRNA from 1 species